rnacentral:lncRNA from 1 species
UGGGAACCAAAAUUCCUCCAUGAUAAAAUGAAAUGGUGCUGUGCCCCCAGCCAACAUCUGCUGGAAAAGAAUCCAGGAUGCUGACGCCCAGCAAACUGUCACGGCUGCCUGGGAUUGGUGACAUCUCGAGUGACACGUGUUGGAUCGUCAGAUCAGAGUGGGAGCAGCACAGCUUUGGGAGCCUAAAAAUAGGUACUGUCAUUCUGAGCCGAAGCCUCUCUGCUCCUUCCCACCCCAGCCCGCCCUGCCUGUUUGGCACGUGCAGCACAUAACCGGAGCACUCACGUUGUACCAAAGAAAAGCCACGUUCCUAAAGCAAGCAGUGUGGUGAGCAGCGGGCACAUUAUCCAUAGACAACGGGUACAGAAAGGAGUACAUUGGCUCUGCUGCACUGCCUGUGGAAAAGCAUCAGAGGUGUUCAGAGAUGCUCCAUAGAAUAGGGAGUUUGAAUUCCUUUCACUGGACAGCUGCUCACAUACUUGUAAUUGAGUGACUGAAUGGUGAAUGUAGCACGUUUGAUUUUCCUGUGGAUCUGUUCUCCCUUACAUUGUGAAGCUCUGUGAACCUUAGUCAUGCUUUCACUUGUUUUUUUAAGUCUACUCACUGGAGCAUGUGUCAGCAUCUGCCAAACCCCAAUAAGCUACAUUUCAUUAAAAAACCAAAACCAGCAGAUUAUUCAGAAAGAGUGAAGUUUGAUUCACAGAGAUAACACUCUUUGAAGAUGUCUGCUCCUUCAGUAGUGACUGAUUUAAAUGGGUUCCAUUUUAGUAUGCCUGUUAGGCCGUUCUCGAGGCCACACAAAGGAGGAGGAAUUGUGUGAGGCCAUAUAAAUCAGGGUUUGUUAUAGUGAAGUCAAACACAACUGCACUGUGGGGUGUUAAUAGGGAGCAGGCAAGAAGUCAAAAGCAAGUCAGAGCCAAUGAACAAAAGCCACAAAGCUAAUCUGUCUGGUUCUUGGUGCUUCUCAGAAGUGCAGCGUCUGCACGCUCACGGUACGCUCUGGAAGAAGCUUGGGGUGUCAGGCUGAUCCAUAUCACCUUUUCAAAGUGCUCCAGUAAUUGGAUGAGUAGGUUUGGUGGAACAUCUGUGGUUCUCAAUUUCUCCCACCGGGAAAGAUCUGAAAAUGAAGCUGUGCGAGCGCAUCACUUGCCCAGGUCUCGUCCUACUUGUUAACGCCAAGGUCACUUCUCUGAAUUCAUUCUCAGCUGAAACAGUGGUGAGGGCAGGCAGGCCACUGGGCACAUGGGCGAGGGACCUGUGGGACUGCGCUCCCAUUGAAUAGUUCUUCAUUGUGUGGAGGAAAACUCCCUACUUUUGUGAGUGCUGAUAAGAGUUUCCUCCUUUUCCUGUAGUACUUUGUGGGCAG